UCCUUUUGCCCUAGAAAUUAAAACGCAUCUUCUUCUUCUUCACGCCUAAGCAUUUUCGAAAUCUCCACCUUCACAUUGUCGUCGCGCUUGAGUUUUUGAAAUCUCCAACUGAAAUCACCGUUCUUGAAGUUGGGGAAGCCCUAUCCCACACCCAUUCUUGACGUGAUUCGAAAUUGGUCUUCACACUCGUUCGAAAUCACCAUUCGAAAUCGCCACCGAAGAUUAAUUCCAUCUCUUCACACUCAAUCUCCGUCUGCCAUCCACCGUGCUUCAAGUCGGGCUCCUUCGAAAAUGUCAUCCAUCGUCGCUUCUCUAUACGAAAACUCCAUCCUUCUUUAUUUAGAGAUUAGAAAUUAAUUCUCAUUCACGUAUGAAGAUAUCUUGAUUUGUGAUUUGAACCUUUUGUAUUUGUAUAGAAGCGACGUAUUGCUCAUGGUGCUUUGGGUUUUUUGGGUUAGAAAUUUGAACCUCACGCAUGAAGAGGUUAGAAAUUAAUUCCUCUUCCCUCUUCACGUAUAAAGUUGGGGAAAGUCCAUAUAUCACAUGGUGCUUUGGGUUCUCCUUACAAAUCCAAUGGAGUUGAUGAUUGAUAUGAGAAGAUACAGAUUGAUAGAAGGAGAUAUGGCUUAUAAGGGACCGUAUUUUCCCUACUGUCACACAGUAGAUGACCGUGAGGGAUACUCUAAACUCUGCACUUGAUGAAGAAAUGUCUGUUGAUCAAAAAAAAAAAAAAAA